GUCUGAGAUAGUUCAGCUGGGGGAGCUAGUUAGAGUCAGGGGGAGGAUUACCAUUUAUAGGGGGAUGCUACAGAUUACAGUGAGGGAUGUGGUGGUGGAGAGGGAUCCAAAUGCAGAGGUGUUACACUGGUUGGAUUGCAUCAGGUUAGCCAAACAGUGCUAUGACUUGCUGCCUGCUGUUACUCUUCGUGGAUCUGGUCUGAACCCACCUCAAGAUGGCUCUGACCAAAGGUUGCUAUUGAGUUUGAUGAGAAAAAUGUGCGGGCCCUGCAAACUAAAUGGAGGAAUUUUGGAUGUGAGAUCUAGUUCCUUGGAAAUGUUGGGUAGCAAGGAGAAGAUUCUGCACUAGUUUCUUUUGAGGAAAGUGGACUGCACCGUUUUUCUUCGGGUGGAUAUCUUUGUGGUGCAUUUUAGGAUUUUUAAUAAAGUUUGGCAAUCCCUUCUGUCCUCCCUUCAGCAACUCCGUCUGUUGCUACCAACACCUCAUCUCGCAUGAAUUGCAACACCGUAUGGACUUCUAAUGCUAACAAAACCCUCCAUUCCCUUGGUCAUGGAGAUAAUCAAGGCCUAUAGGUAUAUUUCCCAUAUAAGACAAAAGACUUAAGAUGAGCUUCUAUAGAUGCAGGGGUCUCGCUAACCUCACCCACAAUCCUCAACGUGUGCGGUGAGGCAAGCUUCAAAUAAACAUGUCUGAAUGAUGCUAUAAGUUUGCAUGUCACAUAUUCUUUCUUUUAAAUGAUUAACCCUGUAUCUCAAAAUUUUUGUGUGUACAGAUCUCUUUUUGCCCCCAGGAGGAAGGUUAAACUUGUUUUUUUGUUCGGAAAACAGAACUAUCUUUAUGUAUAUAAGCGGGGAUUCACUGCUCUUAUUUACAGAUAAAUUGCUGGAGCUAAUCAAAUAUCUUUUUCCC